rnacentral:misc_RNA from 1 species
GAUGAAGAACGUAGCGAAAUGCGAUAAGUAGUGUGAAUUGCAGAAUUCAGUGAAUCAUCGAAUCUUUGAACGCACAUUGCGCCCCCUGGUAUUCCGGGGGGCAUGCCUGUCCGAGCGUCAUUGCUGCCCUCAAGCACGGCUUGUGUGUUGGGCCCCGUCCUCCGAUCCCGGGGGACGGGCCCGAAAGGCAGCGGCGGCACCGCGUCCGGUCCUCGAGCGUAUGGGGCUUUGUCACCCGCUCUGUAGGCCCGGCCGGCGCUUGCCGAUCAACCCAAAUUUUUAUCCAGGUUGACCUCGGAUCAGGUAGGGAUACCCGCUGAACUUAAGCAUAUCAAUAAGCGAGGA